GAAUUCACUAGUGAUUUCUGGUUGAUCCUGCCAGACCCGACUGCUAUCAGAGUGGGACUAAGCCAUGCGAGUCGACGUAGCAAUACGUGGCGAACGGCUCAGUAACACGUAGUCAACAUGCCCAGGGGACGUGGAUAAUCUCGGGAAACUGAGAAUAAACCACGAUAGGUCACGAUUUCUGGAAUGGAUCUUGGCUUAAAUCUACAUGGCCCCUGGAUUGGACUGCGGCCGAUCAGGCUGUUGGUGAGGUAAUGGCCCACCAAACCUUUAACCGGUACGGGCUCUGAGAGGAGGAGCCCGGAGAUGGGCACUGAGACAAGGGCCCAGGCCCUAUGGGGCGCAGCAGGCGCGAAACCUCUGCAAUAGGCGAAAGCCUGACAGGGUUACUCUGAGUGAUUUCCGCUAAGGGGAUCUUUUGGCACCUCUAAAAAUGGUGCAGAAUAAGGGGUGGGCAAGUCUGGUGUCAGCCGCCGCGGUAAUACCAGCACCCCGAGUGGUCGGGACGAUUAUUGGGCCUAAAGCAUCCGUAGCCGGUUCUGCAAGUCUUCCGUUAAAUCCAGCCGCUCAACGGAUGGGCCGCGGAGGAUACUAUAGGACUAGGAGGCGGGAGAGGCAAGCGGUACUCAGUGGGUAGGGGUAAAAUCCUUUGAUCCAUUGAAGACCACCAGUGGCGAAGGCGGCUUGCCAGAACGCGCUCGACGGUGAGGGAUGAAAGCUGGGGGAGCAAACCGGAUUAGAUACCCGGGUAGUCCCAGCUGUAAACGAUGCAGACUCGGUGAUGGGCUAGCCUUGUGCCAGCCCAGUGCCGCAGGGAAGCCGUUAAGUCUGCCGCCUGGGGAGUACGGUCGCAAGACUGAAACUUAAAGGAAUUGGCGGGGGAGCACCACAAGGGGUGAAGCCUGCGGUUCAAUUGGAUUCAACGCCGGAAAUCGAAUUCCCGCGGCC
rnacentral:rRNA from 1 species